CCUGGAGUGACGACAUUGGAACUCACAGCCCUGGUGACUGUACGGACAAGUAAGCAGAAGAAGAAGCCUAUGAACAUCAUUGGCUUGAAGAUGAUGCUUUUUCCUCUCGUGCAUGAUCACAAGGGUGUUGUUCUACAGCUCGUCAGUACUAAAAAUGAAGCAAGUAAGCUGCUUAACUGAAAAUGAAGCAAGUAAGCUGCUUAAUCAAUUUUAAUUGUUUUAGUUGUUUUGAUUAAGAGCAAGUCACAUAAAUAUAUCCGGCAAGAGAACCUUACCUGUAAAUGACUAAUGUAUUUGUGUCAUGAAGACUUUGAGCCAGUCGGGAGACACCGGAAGGGCUGAAAGAGCUAAAGAGAAAUGGAGCUAAGGUAGCUGAGGGGUGACGAGACCACUAUGACACAUACAAUGACAUUGGAAAUCC
rnacentral:lncRNA from 1 species